rnacentral:rRNA from 1 species
UACGUAGGUCCCGAGCGUUGUCCGGAUUUAUUGGGCGUAAAGCGAGCGCAGGUAGUUUAUUAAGUCUGGUGUAAAAGGCAGUGGCUCAACCAUUGUAUGCAUUGGAAACUGGUAGACUUGAGUGCAGGAGAGGAGAGUGGAAUUCCAUGUGUAGCGGUGAGAUGCGUAGAUAUAUGGAGGAACACCGGUGGCGAAAGCGGCUCUCUGGCCUGUAACUGACACUGAGGCUCGAAAGCGUGGGUAGCAAACAGG